rnacentral:rRNA from 1 species
ACAGAGGUGGCAAGCGUUGUUCGGAAUUAUUGGGCGUAAAGAGCACGUAGGCGGCCCUACAAGUCAGCUGUGAAAUCCUUCUGCUCAACGGAAGAACGGCAUCUGAUACUACAGGGCUUGAGUACGGGAGGGGAGAGUGGAACUUCUGGUGGAGCGGUGAAAUGCGUAGAUAUCAGAAGGAACGCCGGCGGCGAAAGCGACUCUCUAGUCCGAAACUGACGCUGAGUGUGCGAAAGCUAGGGGAGCAAACGG